UACUAAUUACCAUACUCUUAAUCACUACUUAAUUACGUUUACAUAAUAUAUCCCACAAUGGUUAAAACUCCUUUAAAUUUGAAAACAAAUGUUGUGACUAUUGUGGUGAUUAAAUACCCGUCGACUUAAAGAAUUUAAUUCUUUAAGUCGAUGGGAGGCUCACGUUUUUGAGAAACAUCCCGACGCUAGGCUCCCACAGAAGGAUAUCAUAUCUAAAACUCCCGAGACGCCAGAAACUGAUGAGGAAAUAUUUAGAAAGUGGCCCUUCAUGUGCAAACCAUGUCGAUUACGAUUUAUAUCAUUGAUGGUGCUGCAGAAUCAUUUAAAAUCUGAGAAUCAUGCUAGUACAAUGGAGUUUGGGCGGUUGGAAGUCUGUCCUCGAAUUUGAUGCAAGUACAAGUACCGUGGUGAAACGCAAUUGACCAUUCACAUUGCUGAACAGCAUCCUCGUCAAGAAGAAUUUAAGUGUCCACAUGUCACUUCAUCUUUUCUGAUGCGAAUAUUCUCGCACCCCAUCGGGUCAAGUAUCACAAAUACAUUCCUUUAGAACCUUUACAAACAAUUAUGCACCCAUGUCUGGUUGCAAAUUGUUGCAAAGUAUUUCCCAACAAGGAUCGACUCGCGACUCAAGUUAGCAUGGAGAAAGCAAUGUGGAACAGCAUUUGCACAGUUCAGUCGCCUCAAUUACCAUGUGAAAUAUGUGCACAACAACACAUCAGGAAACUUUAUCCGUGAUAUUUGUGGGAAACAUUGCAAUACCAGUUCAAGCUAAAUUAUCAUCGAGCAAUUCAUGGAGAAGAGCGUGCCUUCCUUUGCUCCGAGUGCGGAAAGACAUUCAAAACCCGUACUAGUUUGACAAUUCACAAUUGUAGUCCUGAUCGAUGGACGAAACAUUAUCCUUAUCGAAUUCUAGUAGAAAAGAGGCUAGAAACUCAGAGAAAGAGAGAGGCAGCUGCUGCUACAGAUUCUAAUAAUGUAAAAGUGGUUAAGCAACGGCGAAAAUCCAAUCUUUCAAAGGGAACAGUGAUUGUUGAAGAGCUACCGCCUACUGAAUCGUCAGAGGUUCUAAUUGUUGUUACCCAAGACUUCACUAUUCCUUGGAAUUUUGUCCACAUUCAAGAAUAUUUGAAGUUGUGAGCAUUUUUAUAUAAUUCAAAACGUU